GGAUCAUUAAAAAUAGAGAAAUCUUCUCUAAACACCCUCGCGAUCGUGACCUGAACGUUGCCUCGGCGGGUGGUCGCCCCUAGGGAACCCCCCGAAGGGUGGCCGCUGAGCCCGCCGGUGGAGCCGAAACUAUAGCACACAGAAGCUCUGAGGAUACCUAAAUGAGUCAAAACUUUCAACAACGGAUCUCUUGGUUCUGGCAUCGAUGAAGAACGCAGCGAAAUGCGAUACGUAAUGUGAAUUGCAGAACUCAGCGAAUCAUCGAAUCUUUGAACGCACAUUGCGCCCGCCGGCAUUCCGGCGGGCACGCCUGUUCGAGCGUCAUUUCAACCCUCGCGCCCAGCGCGGUGAUGGGGAUCCGCGGCACCGCGGGCCCUGAAAAGCAGUGGCGGCACCGCCUGGAACGCAGCGUAGUAAAACACCUCGCUAGCGGCUUCAGGUGUUGCCCGCCGUUAACACUCCCCUAGAGUUGACCUCGGAUCAGGUGGGAAUACCCGCUGAACUUAAGCAUAUCAAUAAGCGGAGGA
rnacentral:rRNA from 1 species